rnacentral:rRNA from 1 species
UACGGGGGGGGCAAGCGUUGUUCGGAAUUACUGGGCGUAAAGGGUUCGUAGGUGGCCAACUAAGUCAGACGUGAAAUCCCUCAGCUUAACUGGGGAACUGCAUCAGAUACUGGUUGGCUUGAGUUUGGGAGAGGGAUGCGGAAUUCCAGGUGUAGCGGUGAAAUGCGUAGAUAUCUGGAGGAACACCGGUGGCGAAGGCGACAUCCUAGACCAACACUGACGCUGAGUGAGCGAAAGCCAGGGGAGCAAACGGG